rnacentral:rRNA from 1 species
UGUGAAGAUGCAGUGUACCCGCGGCAAGACGGAAAGACCCCGUGAACCUUUACUAUAGCUUGACACUGAACAUUGAGCCUUGAUGUGUAGGAUAGGUGGGAGGCUUUGAAGCGUGGACGCCAGUCUGCGUGGAGCCGGCCUUGAAAUACCACCCUUUAAUGUUUGAUGUUCUAACGUGGACCCGUGAUCCGGGUUGCGGACAGUGUCUGGUGGGUAGUUUGACUGGGGCGGUCUCCUCCUAAAGAGUAACGGAGGAGCACGAAGGUUGGCUAAUCCUGGUCGGACAUCAGGAGGUUA